AUUUUCACAAUUUCACAGUUUUUCAUUCUUUUUUUCGUUUCGUUUGCUGGCCGCACAAUUUUAAUUAUUUGCAAAUGGAAGGCUUUUGGGUGGGCUUCGCCAGCUACUCAUUAUUGUUUACGGGCGGGUUCUUUGGACAAAAGAAUACCCUGUACUCUCUUCACUCUCUCUCUUCAGUCUUCCUCUGUCUUUGUCCACUCUCUCUCUCGCUUCCUCUCGUCUGCAGUAAAAGUUCAAAGUGCAAGUUUUCGGCUUUGACUCUUUUACCGCUUGCGGCUUUAAUUGAACUCGAAGCCAGACACAUUUUUCAAUGCGCCUUGCGGCUAGCCACAAGAGCAGCGACAACAUGGACAACAACAACAACAACAAAUUCCCUUUGUUCUGCAAACUAAUUAAACAUGGAAAGAAACAUCGCUGGACAGCAUCCAGCUCUGCCUUUUCCCCACCUUGACCAGUUCUUCGCUGUUCUUAUUUCCAAUUACCAAACACUUGGAGCCGCCUUCUGAGACCGUGAUUAAUGGCCGAAAUGGACGUGGCUUCAUUUUGAUUGCCGCCUGUCCAAUUGGCCGGCACAUCAUUUGUUCUUAAACACAACACAAAUACAAAACUGUUGGCUAAAUUCAAUACAAAGCAACAACAACGAC